GACGAAGGUGGCGAGCGUUGUUCGGAUUUACUGGGCGUAAAGGGCGCGUAGGCGGCCACCGCAAGUCGACUGUGAAAUCUCCGGGCUUAACCCGGAAAGGUCAGCCGAUACUGCGGGGCUAGAGUGCAGAAGGGGCAACUGGAAUUCUCGGUGUAGCGGUGAAAUGCGUAGAUAUCGAGAGGAACACCUGCGGCGAAGGCGGGUUGCUGGGCUGACACUGACGCUGAUGCGCGAAAGCUAGGGGAGCGAACGGG
rnacentral:rRNA from 1 species